rnacentral:misc_RNA from 1 species
AAGUUGUCGACGAUCCAAAUGUUGAUGCGGUUUAUCUGCCGUUACCGACAAGUCUUCAUAUGAAAUGGGCUGUGCUUGCUGCACAGAAGAAGAAGCAUUUGUUGCUGGAGAAGCCUGUAGGGUUGAAUGUUGAAGAAGUGGAUGUGAUUUUGGCGGCGUGUGAAGCUAAUGGAGUGCAGUUUAUGGAUGGUACUAUGUGGAUGCAUCAUCCGAGGACGGCGAAGAUGAGAGAAUUUCUUUCCGAUGCAAAGCUAUUUGGGGAACUCAAAUCGGUAAACACUUGUUUCACCUUUACUGCUGAUCAAUACUUCCUCGAAAAUGACAUUCG